rnacentral:rRNA from 1 species
CCUACGGGCGGCAGCAGUGAGGAAUAUUGGUCAAUGGCCGUAAGGCUGAACCAGCCAAGUAGCGUGAGGGAAGACUGCCCUAUGGGUUGUAAACCUCUUUUAUGCGGGGAUAAAGGUGUCCACGUGUGGAUGUUUGCAGGUACCGCAUGAAUAAGGACCGGCUAAUUCCGUGCCAGCAGCCGCGGUAAUACGGAAGGUCCGGGCGUUAUCCGGAUUUACUGGGUGUAAAGGGCGUGCAGCCGGAGAGACAAGUCAGAUGUGAAAUCCGCAGGCUCAACCUGCGAACUGCAUUUGAAACUGUUUCCCUUGAGUAUCGGAGAAGUCAUCGGAAUUCCUAGUGUAGCGGUGAAAUGCGGAGAUAUUAGGAAGAACACCAGUGGCGAAGGCGGAUGACUGGACGACAACUGACGGUGAGGCGCGAAAGCGUGGGGAGCAAACAGGAUUAGAUACCCGAGUAGUC